rnacentral:rRNA from 1 species
AGCAGCCGCGGUAAUUCCAGCUCCAAUAGCGUAUAUUAAAGUUGUUGCAGUUAAAAAGCUCGUAGUUGAAUUUCGGGAUCAAUAUGCUGGUCGUGCCUUUGGUACGUACUGGCAUUAUUGGUUUCUCCUUUCUGAUGAAUCACGAUGUCAUUAAUUUGGUGUCAUGGGGAAUCAGGACUGUUACUUUAGAAAAAAUUAGAGUGUUUAAAGCAGGCUUACGCUUGAAUACAUUAGCAUGGAAUAAUGAAAUAGGACGUUUAAUUCUAUUUUGUUGGUUUCUAGGAUUGACGUAAUGAUUAAUAGGGAUAGUUGGGGGCAUUAGUAUUCAAUUGUCAGAGGUGAAAUUCUUGGAUUUAUUGAAGACUAACUACUGCGAAAGCAUU